GAUGAACGCUAGCUACAGGCUUAACACAUGCAAGUCGAGGGACCGGCGCACGGGUGAGUAACACGUAUCCAACCUGCCCUUUACUCGGGGAUAGCCUUUCGAAAGAACGAUUAAUACCUGAUAUAAAGGUUGGGGAUGCGUUCCAUUAGGUUGUUGGUAAGGGAACGGCUCACCAAGCCUUCGAUGGAUAGGGGUUCUGAGAGGAAGGUCCCCCACAUCUGACAUAAGACACGGUCCAAACUCCUACGGGAGGCAGCAGUGAGGAAUAUUGGUGAAUGAGCGCUAGCCUGAACCAGCCAAGUGGAGUGAAGGAUGAAGGCUUAUGGGUGUUAAACUUCUGUUAUAUAAGAUUAGGUAUUAUAUGAAUAAGGAUCGGCUAACUCCGUGCCAGCAGCCGCGGUAAUUC
rnacentral:rRNA from 1 species